GCGGGCAUAGCUCAAUGGUAGAGCUCCAGCCUUCCAAGCUGGUGGUGCGGGUUCGAUUCCCGCUGCCCGCUCCA
rnacentral:tRNA from 2 species